rnacentral:rRNA from 1 species
AACGAACGCUGGCGGCAUGCCUAACACAUGCAAGUCGAACGAGACCUUCGGGUCUAGUGGCGCACGGGUGCGUAACGCGUGGGAACCUGCCCUUAGGUUCGGAAUAACUCCCCGAAAGGGGUGCUAAUACCGGAUAAUGUCUUCGGACCAAAGAUUUAUCGCCUUUGGAUGGGCCCGCGUUGGAUUGGCUAGUUGGUAGGGUAAAAGCCUACCAAGGCGACGAUCCAUAGCUGGUCUGAGAGGAUGAUCAGCCACACUGGGACUGAGACACGGCCCAGACUCCUACGGGAGGCAGCAGUGGGGAAUAUGGGACAAUGGGCGAAAGCCUGAUCCAGCAAUGCCGCGUGAGUGAUGAAGGCCUUAGGGUUGUAAAGCUCUUUUACCCGGGAUGAUAAUGACAGUACCGGGAGAAUAAGCUCCGGCUAACUCCGU